CCUUCAGCAGCAACCAGUUUCUCUCUGGCUCCUCCCACCACUGCUGAGCUCAGCCAAUGAGAAGGCUCGUCUCUAACAGCAGCUUGAUGAUGAUGAUGAAGGUCUGUUAGUCUUCCUUCUGCUGCAGUGGAUCAUCUCUGUAGAUCUGCUGUCUGUCCUGAACUCCUGGAACAUGUUGCUGUACCUCCUGCUCUUCUCUCUCUACAUCGCCAUGGGCUCCAUGAACACCGUCACACAGGAGCAGAGGGAACACGUCGCUUCAGAGGGAAGCCCCACCAGUUUGAGCUGCGGAUAUACUGGUUCUAUCUAUAAUGUCCAGUGGUACCGACAGCAGCACGGAUCCAGACCAGAGUUCCUGCUCUACAUCACAGAGUCGGGAUCGAUCCAUCCAACUCGCUCCGAUUUCUCAGCUCACAUCGAUAAAACUCAGAAACGAGGAACUCUGCUGAUCUCCUCUGCUGCAGUGACAGACUCUGCUGUGUACUACUGCGCUGUGGCGCCCACAGUGACAGGAAACACCAGAACCCUGUACAAAAACCUGCAGUACUCCACAGCAGCCACUAGAGGGCCUCACUGCCUGUUAAACCACUGAAACCUGCAGUACUCCACAGCAGCCACUAGAGGGCCUCACUGCCUGUUAAACCACUGAAACCUGCAGUUCUCCACAGCAGCCACUAGAGGGCCUCAGACUGCAUGAACCUGAGGUUUCUCUGUAGAAACUUACUGAACCUCAUGACAAAGCUGCUCCUGCUCCAGUUUGUCCAGCAGAUCUAAGUGAAUGGGAGGAACCGUUCUAAGCUGCAGGUUGAUGAGCGUCUGGACGUCCGCUGGUCCCAACAAGCUGCUGGAAACGU